rnacentral:rRNA from 1 species
UGGCGGACGGGUGAGUAACGCGUGGGUAACCUACCUCACACAGGGGGAUAACAGUUGGAAACGACCGCUAAUACCGCAUAAGCCGGAAGGAUCGCAUGAUCCGGCCGGAAAAGAUUUAUCGGUGUGAGAUGGACCCGCGUCUGAUUAGCCAGUUGGCAGGGUAACGGCCUACCAAAGCGACGAUCAGUAGCCGGCCUGAGAGGGUGAACGGCCACAUUGGGACUGAGACACGGCCCAAACUCCUACGGAAGGCAGCAG